GCCCGGAAAAGUGUGCAGCCUGCAAGAUAGUGGUUCACACAAUCUGCAUAGAGCAGCUAGAAAAGAUAAACUUUAGGUGUAAACCGUCAUUCAGGGAAUCGGGGUCUAGGAAUAUACGAGAGCCAGUCCUCCAAAGACAAGGUGCUCUAAAGUGCCUCAGGCGGAUGGCUAACUGCAUGGCCACCCCUUUCCUGAGCCAGUCCCAGGUACCAUCC